GGAACACCCGGUGUAGCGGUGGAAUGCGCAGAUAUCGGGUGGAACACCGGUGGCGAAGGCGGCCCUCUGGGCCGAGACCGACGCUGAGGCGCGAAAGCUGGGGGAGCGAACAGGAUUAGAUACCCUGGUAGUCCCAGCCGUAAACGAUGGACGCUAGGUGUGGGGGGACGAUCCCCCCGUGCCGCAGCCAACGCAUUAAGCGUCCCGCCUGGGGAGUACGGCCGCAAGGCUAAAACUCAAAGGAAUUGACGGGGGCCCGCACAAGCAGCGGAGCAUGUGGCUUAAUUCGAAGCAACGCGAAGAACCUUACCAGGGCUUGACAUAUGGGUGAAGCGGGGGAGACCCCGUGGCCGAGAGGAGCCCAUACAGGUGGUGCAUGGCUGUCGUCAGCUCGUGUCGUGAGAUGUUGGGUUAAGUCCCGCAACGAGCGCAACCCCCGCCGCGUGUUGCCAUCGGGUGAUGCCGGGAACCCACGCGGGACCGCCGCCGUCAAGGCGGAGGAGGGCGGGGACGACGUCAAGUCAUCAUGCCCCUUAUGCCCUGGGCUGCACACGUGCUACAAUGGCCGGUACAGAGGGAUGCCACCCCGCGAGGGGGAGCGGAUCCCGGAAAGCCGGCCCCAGUUCGGAUUGGGGGCUGCAACCCGCCCCCAUGAAGUCGGAGUUGCUAGUAAUCGCGGAUCAGCAUGCCGCGGUGAAUGCGUUCCCGGGCCUUGUACACACCGCCCGUCACACCACCCGAGUCGUCUGCACCCGAAGCCGCCGGCCCAACCUUUUUGGGGGGAGGCGUCGAAGGUGUGGAGGGUGAGGGGGGUGAAGUCGUAACAAGGUAGCCGUACGGGAACGUGCGGCUG
rnacentral:rRNA from 1 species